rnacentral:rRNA from 1 species
UGAAUACGAGAUGCUACGGCAUCGAAGCAGUCUAUGUCAUACUUCCAAGAAAAGCUUGCACUGUCAUAAACAAAUAAUGCCUGUACCAUAACCGACACAGGUGGGUAGGUAGAGUAUACUAAGGGGCGCGAGAUAACUCUCUCUAAGGAACUCGGCAAAAUGACUCCGUAACUUCGGGAGAAGGAGUGCCUUAUUUUAUAAGGUUGCAAUAACAAGAUCCAAGCAACUGUUUACCAAAAACACAGGUCUCCGCUAAGUCGUAAGACGAUGUAUGGGGGCUGACGCCUGCCCAGUGCCAGAAGGUUAAAGAAGUUGGUUAGCAUUAGCGAAGCUGAUAACUGAAGCCCUGGUGAACGGCGGCCGUAACUAUAACGGUCCUAAGGUAGCGAAAUUCCUUGUCGGGUAAGUUCCGACCCGCACGAAAGGCGUAAUGAUUUGGAUACUGUCUCGGAGAGGGGCUCGGUGAAAUAGACUUGUCUGUGAAGAUGCGGACUACCUGCACCAGGACAGAAAGACCCUAUGAAGCUUUACUGUAACUUGAGAUUGAAAUUGGACUUUAUUUGCGCAGUAUAGGUGGGAGACGUUGAAAAUAUUCUUGCGGGAAUAUUGGAGUCAUCAGUGAGAUACCACUCUUAUAAUGUUAGAUUUCUAACUUUGUAUCAUUAUCUGGUCAAAGAAUAGUCUCAGGCGGGCAGUUUGACUGGGGCGGUCGCCUCCCAAACGGUAACGGAGGCGCACAAAGGUUUCCUCUGAACGUGUAGAAAUCGUAUCUAGAGUGUAAAGGCAUAAGGAAGCUUGACUGUGAGACCUACAAGUCGAGCAGGGACGAAAGUCGGUCUUAGUGAUCUGACGGUGCUGAGUGGAAAGGCCGUCACUCAACGGAUAAAAGUUACUCUAGGAUAACAGGCUGAUCUCCCCCAAGAGUACACAUCGACGGGGAGGUUUGGCACCUCGAUGUCGGCUCAUCGCAUCCUGGGGCGGUAGUACGUCCCAAGGGUUGGGCUGUUCGCCCAUGAAAGCGGUACGCGAGCUGGGUUCAGAACGUCGUGAGACAGUUCGGUCCAUAUCCGGUGUAGGCGUUAGAAUAUUGAGAGGAGCCUUCUUUAGUACGAGAGGACCGAGAAGGACAUACCUCUGGUGUACCAGUUAUCGUGCCAACGGUAAACGCUGGGUAGCUAUGUAUGGAGAGGAUAACCGCUGAAAGCAUCUAAGUGGGAAGCCCACCUCAAGAUAAG